UCAAACUGGAUUCCACCACUUUUAGCCACUAUCCAUCUUUGCUAAUAAUAAUUAGUCUUAAUUUUAC
rnacentral:tRNA from 1 species